rnacentral:rRNA from 1 species
ACCUGUUGUGGUGGAUGUCUUGGCCCAGGUUCUGAGGAAGGACACAGCAGCCUUGCGAUACGUUCGGUGAUACGCAGAGUCUUGUGAUCUGGACAAAGGAACAGCUUCGAACGCAACUGGCCAGCAAGGGGUUCCCCCCCGAGCUGCCUGUGCGCCAGUGUUG